AUACCGAUUAAUACAAGUGAAUAUUAUUGGUUUAUAUAGUAAUAAAUUAUUUUGAGUUUUAAUAAUUAAUUAUUAGGUGAAAUUUUAUUUAUUUUUUUACUCAUAUUUUUAGAUUCUAUGAAACUUGUUAAUUAAACUAGGAUUAGAUACCCUAUUAUUUUAAGUGUAAAUUUUGUUUUACCUGGGUAGUAUUAGUUAAGGUCUUUAAACCCAAAGAAUUUGGCGGUAUUUCAUUCCAUUCAGAGGAACCUAUCUCGUAAUUGAUAGUACACGAUUAACUUUACUUAAUUUAUUUGUUUGUAUAUCUCCGUUAUCAGAAAAUCUUUUUGGAGUAAUAAUUUUCUUGUUUUUGAAUUAAAAUUUAUUUCAGGUCAAGGUGCAGCUUAUAAUUAAGAGUAUGAUGGGUUACAAUAAUUUUUUUUUAUUACGAAUUUAAUUUUGUAAUUUUUUUAAUGAAGGUGGAUUUGAUAGUAAUUUAAAUUAUUUAAUUUAAUUGGUAUUGGSCCUGAGGUG
rnacentral:rRNA from 1 species